rnacentral:rRNA from 1 species
GGUUAAGUGACUAAGCGUACACGGUGGAUGCCCUGGCAGUCAGAGGCGAUGAAGGACGUGCUAAUCUGCGAUAAGCGUCGGUAAGGUGAUAUGAACCGUUAUAACCGGCGAUUUCCGAAUGGGGAAACCCAGUGUGAUUCGUCACACUAUCAUUAACUGAAUCCAUAGGUUAAUGAGGCGAACCGGGGGAACUGAAACAUCUAAGUACCCCGAGGAAAAGAAAUCAACCGAGAUUCCCCCAGUAGCGGCGAGCGAACGGGGAGCAGCCCAGAGCCUGAAUCAGUGUGUGUGUUAGUGGAAGCGUCUGGAAAGGCGUGCGAUACAGGGUGACAGCCCCGUACACAAAAAUGCACAU